AAAGGUCCUUCGGCGGCCAUAAAAUCAUUAUUCCUUGAUGAGGAUACGCCUGGCGGGAACUGUUUAAAUGUCCAUUCUGUUCUUUCAUAUUAAAAAUGCGUUCAAAAAAAUUCAAAACCCCCACUCAUUAUAACCAUAAAAAAAUUAUAUUAUUUAUAAUAUAAAAAUAAAAACAACUUUCAACAACGGAUCUCUUGGCUCUCGCAUCGAUGAAGAACGCAGCGAAUUGCGAUAAGUAAUGUGAAUUGCAGAAUUACGUGAAUCAUCGAAUCUUUGAACGCAUAUUGCACUCUCUGGUAAUCCGGGGAGUAUGCCUGUUUGAGGGUCAGUAAAUAAUAAUUAUCAUAAUCUUUUGAUUGUGGAAUUGGGCCUUUAUUUCAUUAAUGAUUUAUGGCCUCAAAUUUACGUUACCGCUUGUUUAAUAUGAAAUUCGACCGAAUGGAGCAAUUAAACAAUUCUCGUUAGGCGAAUUCUCAUCAAGCAAUUACGAUUUUUUGGCCGCUGAAGGACUUUUUACAAGUGCUUGGCCGAGAUCGUGAGUUUUUUUAACAAUGACCUCAAAUCAGGCAAGAAUACCCGCUGAACUUAAGCAUAUCAAUAAGCGGAGGAAACGGGCGAAUUUCGCGGCCGUAAAUUCA
rnacentral:rRNA from 1 species